rnacentral:rRNA from 1 species
AUUGAACGCUGGCGGCAGGCCUAACACAUGCAAGUCGAGCGGCAGCGGGAAAGUAGCUUGCUACUUUUGCCGGCGAGCGGCGGACGGGUGAGUAAUGCCUGGGGAUCUGCCCAGUCGAGGGGGAUAACAGUUGGAAACGACUGCCAAUACCGCAUACGCCCUACGGGGGAAAGGAGGGGACCUUCGGGCCUUUCGCGAUUGGAUGAACCCAGGUGGGAUUAGCUAGUUGGUGGGGUAAUGGCUCACCAAGGCGACGAUCCCUAGCUGGUCUGAGAGGAUGAUCAGCCACACUGGAACUGAGACACGGUCCAGACUCCUACGGGAGGCAGCAGUGGGGAAUAUUGCACAAUGGGGGAAACCCUGAUGCAGCCAUGCCGCGUGUGUGAAGAAGGCCUUCGGGUUGUAAAGCACUUUCAGCGAGGAGGAAAGGUUGUUGGCUAAUACCCAGCAACUGUGACGUUACUCGCAGAAGAAGCACCGGCUAACUCCGUGCCAGCCGCCGCGGUAA